GAUUUAGAUGCACUACUGUUCCACUGGAUGUCAUAAGGUGAAUGCACCAAUUUGUAAGUCGCUCUGGAUAAGAGCGUCUGCUAAAUGACUUAAAUGUAAAUGUACAUGUAAUAUUUACUGAAAUUACACCAAUAUGUUUUUUAAAAUCUACAUAUGGGAAACUACAUCCCUAGUUCUAAGAAUAACGAAUUUGUUGGUGUGCUGCAUACUGCACCAUGCAGAAUUUCUGAUCUGACUGUCCUCUAUUCUACCUCUUUGUUGCUGUGUUUGGCACUUUUACCAAUAUCCAAGGGGUGGAGAGAAAUUGGUUACUGCCAUUCGUGACACAAUGGUGACAUCUUGUGGAUAAAUGUAAUAUGAUUUGAUGUAAUCAAUGUUCUGUUUCUAAAAUGUCACAGACAGUGCAAAUAAACUUUUCCUGAAUAUCUACUCUAGUUGCACCUUGCAACAUGGCGUCUGGCUGUCCAAACAGUGCAAACAUUUUGAAUGGUUAGCAGGAUAGGAAGGAAAAUGGUCUAAUUCACACACUUAUCAAGAGGUCAUCCCUAAUGCCUCUAAUUUGGCGGACUCACUAAACACUUGCUUCAUUUGUAAAUAAUGUCUGAGUGUUGAAGCUGGCCCCUAUCUAUCUGUAAAUAAAACAUUUAAAAAAUGGUGCUGUAUGGUUUGAUUAAGGAAUUUGAAAUUGUAUAUUUUAGUAAUUACAUUGACUUACGAUACUUAAGUGUAAAACCAAAUCAUUUUACUUUUGCUUCAGAAAGCAUUCUUGUCCUAUCACUAGUCUAGAGCAAAACUAUUAUUAGAUGUUCUGUACAGUCUACCCCUUAGUUACAUAACUACCGGUAAGUCUCUUUCUGUCAUGCUUGUGUUUAUACCAUAUUACCAUUGGUUCACAUGUCUGUUUAAACUUUUGAUCACAUGUACAUCCCCCAGGUUUCUGUGUUGGGUAUGCCAGGUCCCGGAGAAGGCUCUGUGGCAGGAUGUCAAACUGGUUGUGCCUUCCUUUGUAAAGCUCUCCUGCCCCAGGAGGAACCUUUGUGCACAGAGGACCUGAGCCUUAGGGCAAUGCCUCAGGACUACCUGGCCUGGUGACUCCUGGCUGUCCCCAUCUCCAGUCUACCUGGUUGUGCUGCCGUUCCAGUCUCUGCUAUUUUACCUGUGGCUAUGGGACCCUGACCUGCUGUUUUCGACCCUGUCUCUCUCCCACCUGCUGUUUUCGACCCUCUCUCUCUCCCACCUGCUGUCUUGACCUCUGAAUGCUCGGCUAUGAAAAGCCAACUGACAUUUACUCCUGAGGUACUGAUCUGUUACAACCACUGUGAUUAUUAUUUGACCCUGCUGGUCAUCUAUGAACAUUUUAACAUCUUGAAGAACGAUCUGGCCUUAAUGGCCAUAUACUCUUAUAAUCUCCACCCGGCACAGCCAGAAGAGGAUUGGCCACCUCUCAGAGCCUGGUUCCUUUCUAGGGAGUUUUUCCUAGCCGCUGUGCUUCUACAUCUGCAUUGCUUGCUGUUUAGGGUUUUAGGCUGGGGUUCUGUAUUAAGCACUUUGUGACAUCUGCUGAUGUAAACAUGGCUUAAUAAAUACAUUUGAUUGAUUG